UACGGGGGAUGCAAGUGUUAUCCGGAAUCACUGGGCGUAAAGCGUCUGUAGGUCGUUCAAUAAGUCAACUGUUAAAUCUUGAGGCUCAACUUCAAAAUCGCAGUCGAAACUAUUAAACUAGAGUAUAGUAGGGGUAAAGGGAAUUUCCAGUGGAGCGGUGAAAUGCGUAGAGAUUGGAAAGAACACCAAUGGCGAAAGCGCUUUACUGGGCUAUUACUGACACUGAGAGACGAAAGCUAGGGUAGCAAAUGGG
rnacentral:rRNA from 1 species